UACGGAGGGUGCGAGCGUUAAUCGGAAUAACUGGGCGUAAAGGGCACGUAGGUGGUCUGUUAAGUGAGAUGUGAAAUCCCCGGGCUUAACCUGGGAACAGCAUUCCAGACUGGGAGUCUAGAGUACUUUAGGGAGGGGUAGAAUUCCACGUGUAGCGGUGAAAUGCGUAGAGAUGUGGAGGAAUACCGAAGGCGAAGGCAGCCCCUUGGGAAUGUACUGACGCUCAUGUGCGAAAGCGUGGGGAGCAAACAGG
rnacentral:rRNA from 1 species